rnacentral:misc_RNA from 1 species
GGGGAAAAUGCAAAUUAUGCUGCCUCUGAGUAUGCUUGGGAGUCAGCAACCCCUCCAGGUACAGCGUUGAUGAUGUUAGAUGCAGAUAAGAUGGUUGCUGCUGCCAGUUCUCGUAAUCCUACUCUGGCUGGUGCUCUGACUAGGCUCCAACGGUGUGCUUUCAAUGGAAGCUGGGAGGUUCGUAUAAUUGCGUCCCAGGCUCUUACAACUAUUGCAAUUCGAUCUGGCGAGCCAUAUAGGUUACAGAUUUAUGAAUUUUUACAUGCCUUAGUCCAGGGUGGUGUACAGUCUCAGUUCUCAGAUAUGCAUAUUAGCAAUGGAGAGGACCAGGGAUCCAGUGGCACUGGCCUUGGAUCUUUAAUCGGUCCUAUGUUGAAGGUCCUUGAUGGAAUGUAUUCUGCGCAGGAUGAAUUAAUAAAAGAUAUGCGCAAUCAUGAUAAUGCAAAAAAAGAAUGGACGGAUGAGGAACUAAAGAAAUUAUAUGAAACUCAUGAGAGGCUCUUGGAUCUCGUUUCUCUAUUCUGUUAUGUUCCAAGAUCAAAGUAUCUUCCUUUAGGGCCAACAAGCGCAAAGCUAAUCGAUGUCUAUCGCACUCGGCAUAAUAUAAGUGCGUCAACUGGACUCAGCGAUCCGGCUGUAGCCACGGGCAUUUCUGAUCUUAUGUAUGAAUCUACUAAUACAAAAGCUGCUGAGCCUGAAUCAAUUGAUGAUGACCUUGUGAACUUCUGGGCUGCAAAUCUUGGUGAUGAUAGCUUGAACAAUGCACCUGCAAUUAACAGGGUCAAUGAGUUUCUUGCCGGUGCUGGUACUGAUGCUCCUGAUGUUGAGGAGGAGAAUAUUAUUUCUAGACCUUCCAUGAGUUAUGAUGAUAUGUGGGCAAAGACUCUCUUAGAAUCUUCGGAAAUGGAGGAAGAUGAUGGACGAUCGUCAGGGUCUUCCUCCCCAGACUCAGUAGGGUCAGUCGAGACGUCUAUAUCGUCCCACUUUGGUGGAAUGAAUUAUCCAUCGUUAUUUAGUUCUAAACCAUCUACACAAUCCAAGGGGAAAUCUGGUGGGAGCCGAUAUAAUAAUAAUUCCUACAGUGGCUCCUCAUAUGAUGGUCUGGACUCCCUGAUAAGAGAAGAGCCUCCUCCAUAUUCAUCACCUAUAAGAGAAAGAUAUGAGUCAUUUGAGAAUCCCUUGGCUGGGUCUGAUUCUCACAGUUUUGGACCCCAUGAAGAGGAACGAGUUUCUUCUAGCAACCCACAGUCUGGUACAGCACUUUAUGACUUCACAGCUGGUGGAGAUGACGAGCUUAAUCUGACAGCAGGGGAAGAGUUGGAAAUUGAGUAUGAAGUAGAUGGCUGGUUCUACGUCAAGAAAAAACGUCCUGGAAGAGAUGGGAAAAUGGCCGGCCUUGUCCCUGUACUCUAUGUCAGUCAAUCUUGAAAGCAUAGUAGUUGUUACCACAAUAUCCCGUUAGUCAAAACUUGGUUUGCACAAAUUGUUGAAGCAACUAUGGGCAUGUAGAGAUUUUUUAUCAAUGCACUGCUCAAUGGGUUCUGCUGUAAUCAGCUGAGUUAGAUGGACAUGAAUUAGGAAAUAUGCUCAUGUAUUUAUCCGAGAAGAUUCUAUUUCUCCGACGUUGUAGCUGAUGAUCCGAUGGAUAUGACUUUAUACUUGGUUCUGCUCGUUGAAGGGUUUGUGGCCAAUUUGCAGGGAAGGCUUGGAUCAUUUCUCCAAGUGUGGGUAUGUCCUCAAGAUCCGAUGAUGAUGCCUUUUCUCACUCUACCUAUGUGACUUGCUAUAGUCUAAAAACAUUUGUUUCACUCUUAUUGUUCAAGACAUUGUUGUAAGCCUUAAAUGUCAAAUAUACAUUUGUGUGAGGGCUAUGCUUGAAUUGUUCUAUUCCGACUUAGAUGGUUUUAUAUGAGACAUAUCUAU